rnacentral:rRNA from 1 species
CGACCUAUCCUUGGCCGACAGGCCCGGGUAAUCUUUGAAACUGCAUCGUGAUGGGGAUAGAUUAUUGCAAUUAUUAAUCUUCAACGAGGAAUGCCUAGUAAGCGCGAGUCAUCAGCUCGCGUUGAUUACGUCCCUGCCCUUUGUACACACCGCCCGUCGCUCCUACCGAUUGGGUGUGCUGGUGAAGCGUUCGGAUUGGCGUUGGUGGGCGGUUUUCCGCCUCCCCUCGCUGAGAAGUUCGUUAAACCCUCCCACCUAGAGGAAGGAGAAGUCGUAACAAGGUUUCCGUAGGUGAACCUGCGGAAGGAUCAUUGAAUCUAUCGUGUCCACACCGCGAAACUACUAAAGCCCUUCUGGAGUAGGCAGACUGCACAGUCUGACCUUCAGUUGCGCAGGUCAGGGGCUGGCUCCUUUUGGUGUCAGUUGACUUGACUGGGCGGGUCCGAUACCAUGCGGAUUCACCUUGCCUUUAUGGCUUGGGGUCAUGCCGGAUGUGAGGGGUGGCGGUUAACAUACCUUAAGCAAUUAAUUCUGAAGACAGAUCUACUGGCUGGCUUUGCUGACUGUAGACUGAAUAAUUACAGACAACUCUCAACAACGGAUAUCUUGGCUCCCGUAACGAUGAAGAACGCAGCGAAAUGCGAUACGUAGUGUGAAUUGCAGAAUUCCGUGAACCAUCGAAUCUUUGAACGCAAAUUGCGCUCGAGGCUUCGGCCAAGAGCAUGUCUGCCUCAGCGUCGGCUACUACCCUCAACCUAGUUUCCUAUUAUAUGAUAGGGGAUGCCGGUUGGAUAUGGCCGUCCGGUUUGCCUGAAUGCUAGCCGGUCAGCUGAAAUACAUUCACGCUGUGGAAGCUGCUUUCCUGUCAAGGAGAGGCGAGUUCCGAUUUGGUAGGUGACCCUUGCCGGUUACAUGCCUUCGUUGCCCGCCAGGCUUCCAAUCAUGCGUUGUGCAGGACGCCUUUUGGCUUUCGACCUGAGGUCAUG